GUUUAGUAAGAAGGAAAUGGCGUCUCUGGGAUGCGACGGGCGCCGGACGUAGCUAAAGGAAUCACUUUUCCCCCUUAUAGCAAUUUGACUAAUUCUACCCCCUAGAUGUCUUUUGGAUAUAUUCUCUCUCCUCCACCCCCGUGCUGCAGACCAAGCUGUCAUCAUUUCUCACCCAGUCUGAUGCAAUAGCCUAAGAAUGGGAAUCCUGAGACGCAUCUUCUACUGCUAGCUGCCAGAUUGAUCUUUUGGAAACACCAAUGCAGAGUGAAGCAGAACCACUUAACCUGACCAUCAGUGGAAGAACAAAACUCAUGUAACUGAAACAAGAGAGUGACUGCAAUUUACAGAUGUAUGUGGUCAUUUACCUUGUGGUUUAUGAGAAGUAUUGAACACAGAGCCCAUGUUUAUAUACUCUCGUUUUUGCUGUGACCUGCAAAGUGCCCUGGGCUAAGUCGCUUCUCUUUUUUCUGUCCCAUCUGGAAAAAAAAAUGAGGAUAACACAUUUUCUUUAUCCUCAUAAGACAGACAAUUUGAUGUCUCUAAUUUAUGAUCAAAGGAAGACAAACCAACAUGCUUGACUAACAGGUAAAACAGUACACAGGACCAGGGUUCUGUAGUUCUAGCAUGGAUUCUGCCUCUUAGCUGUGAGAACUUCAGUAGGGAGACCUAAACUUCAGUAGGCCUUCACGUCCUUAUCUGUUUUAACUUGUAUCCCUGAGAUUCUGUGAUUCUUAGUUUAUAGGAAGUCAAGAAAGCUGACAUAUGAUCUUCCCUGACUAAUUCAGUCCAUAGACAAUUACACAGUCCUACCCUCAUCUCUCUUUACUCUGAGUUUCUACUGAAGUAUAGCAAGGCUAUACAGUCUAACCAGUAUUAGUCCUCUCAUGGUAAGUUCUACUAAAGCAGGGUUCCAUGUACGAAAUCCCAUCUCAUCCCCUCCCUCCCUUCCCCAACCCUGGCCAACUCCCAGAUCUAGGCGUUUGUUGUAGACUCAUAAUACUUGUUGGCUAAAGGAGGAAGUUCAGUGACUACAGCUAUCUCUUAAGAGUCAACUUCUCCUUUUACUUCUUUUACUUUACAGAGAAAAGAAAGGCCAUUUGGCAAGAAUUUCCUUUAAUAACUUCCCCCUCCAGCACACACACCCAAAAUUUAUUUGUGUUAAUUCAUCCUUGAAAAGAUUGGGAAAAUAUGACUAUAAUAAAAUUUGAAUCAUGUAUACAACCAAAAGCAUCCUUAUAAAGUUAAAGACAAGCCACAGACCACAGGAAGAUAUUUGCAAAAGAAGCCAUAACCAGAAUUUUUAAAUCCUGCGUAUCAUUAAGAAAACAGAUAAAUAACCCAAUGGAAAAGUGAAAAGAAUGGGGAGGAGGGGGAGAAGAUACAAAUAAGCAAUUUACAAAGGACCCCCAAAUGACCAAUAAACAUAUGAGGAAUACUCAAACUUAUGAAUAAUCAGGGAUAUGUCAACAAAAACUCAUCAAAUGGGAGAAAAUUUAAAAGUCUGGGGGAAAAAAACCCCCAGAAAGUGGUUAACACUCAUGCACAAUGGAUGGGAGUACAUGUUGUUUUAUCCACACUGGAGAGCAAGUUGGCUUUAUCUACUGAGGGGGCACUGACAGCAACAGUUUAAAAAUUAGAUCUGUAAUAUUUACAUGGUGAUAAGUCCUACGGAGAAAAAUAAAGGAGAGUAAGAGGAUGGGUAGUACAAAAUGAGGGCAUAGGUUGUAUUCAUUUUAGAGCAAAUAUUCAGGGAAGUCUCAUUGAAAAAUUGACUUUGGGGCUGAUAUUUGAAGCGGGUAAGAAUUGUGAACUGUGUGGAUAUCUGGUAGAAGAUCAUUCCAUGAAGAGGAAACACCAUGUGCCAAGACUGAGGUGGGAGUGCUCUAGUUUGGGACAUGUUGAAUUUGAAAGGUCUAUUAUACAUUCCAGAGGAAAUGCCAAGAGAGCAGUUGAAUAGAUAGAUACAAAUGUAGAUAUCACCCCUCUCUAGAAUGUCAGCCACAUGUGGGCAAGGCCUUGUCACUGCUGUAUCCCUGGCACUAAGAAAAGAGCCUUGAAUAGAGUAGAUGUUUGACGAAUAUUUGUUAAGUGAAUGUUGAAGCUACUUGAAUAGAAGAGAGUGAGAAGAAAACAUGGAUAAGGAAGGAACGCUCACUGGCACUCACAGGCUGGGUGGUAGAACAAGAGCCUGUAAAACAGCCCAAGGUCCCACAACCAAAGGAAGGAAAUCCAAGAGAGAAUAAUGUCCAGAAGCCACAAUCAGAGUUUCCAUAAGAAAGAUGUCAAAUAUUGCAAAGAUCAGGUGAGGUGAGAACUACAGGGUGGCUGUCUUUGAGAGGUAGAAGAGCCUUGGUGUCUUUGUGGAUGAUAGUUAUUUCAGUCAUUUCAUAUGUAUUAUGUAUAUAUGAUAUAUAUGUAUCUCAUGUGUAUGAAAUAAAGUAGACUUGGGGAGGAGCAGGUUUGCUGAGGUGGGAGUGAGAGAAAAGAAUUUAGUUUAAUUGGGGCUUGGUUAAGUGUGUGGUGUCUAUUAGAGAUCAACAUGGAGAUAUAAAGUGGGUACUAGAAUUUAUUUAACAAAUAUUUAUUGGGCACCUGGAAUUCCAUGGCUGUUAAUAGCAGAUAGUUUAUAUUGGAUUAACCCUUUUAUACAUAAUAAUUAUAAACUUGGGGUGGUAGGGGGAUUACCUAAAAGCAUUAAAGAGUGACCAACCUAGAAACUAGAGAAGAGUUGACACUUAGAAGGAGGGAAUGGCACAAGAUGAGUUUCUUGUUUGUUUUUUUAAAAUGACUUUCUGCCCAAGGGCAAGUUCCAGUCAGCUCCAUGCUGGAGCAGUUAGAAUGUGGAUAGAAACCCACAGUUUUGGUGAAUUGAUCUGUGGAAUUAGAAGAUAGAAUUUGAAGCUAUCACAGCAAGUGGAAGACGGUGGUGGUGGAGGUAUCCUAGAAAGAAGAAAACCUCCAAAUUCUUCACAUUAAGUUUUCCCAAACCUCUGGCUGAUCUCUGAACAAUACUAAUGUGUGGCAGACUUCAGUCAGCCUAGCCGAUGAUGAAGAACUGAAUAGAAGUUUCAACUUGCCCACCACGGAGGAGAAAAACUUCUUCUAAUUAAGUUAACUCUUUAGUAAAACAAAAAAUUUAAGUAUUUUUCAGAGGAACGUAACAGGUAGUCUCUGUAAUGUAUCGUUCACAAUGUACAAGCACAAUCCAAAAUUACUAGACAAUCAAAGAAACAAUAAUGGAAUCAUAUUCAAGAGAAAAGACAAUUAAUGGAGACUGAUCCUAAGAUGAUGCAGAAGUCAGAAUUAGGAGACAAUUAUUUUAAAUUAGCUAUUAUAACUCUGUUCAAGAACAUAAAGAUAUAUUCAUAAUGAAUGAACAGAUGGGAAGCAUGCCACCUGCCACAUUCUCCUGGGGGAAGCCUGGAGUCCCUCUGGACUUGUCCUUUUCUUUCUUCUUUAACUCAAUGGGGUAUCAACUCCAUCUAUUAUACCAAAUCUCUUUCCCCCCUCAGAGCUGCUUAGUUCACCCCUUAUCAUUUAGAGCUUGGAAGCCUCCUAAGUUGUCACCUUGCUCUUUCUUCUUUCAGCUGCCAGAAUCAUUAUUUUAGUCCCUAGUUCUUAUCAGCCAAAGGAGAGAAACUUUGUACAUAUGCUUAGGUACAGAGAUCUGAGGGUACUGAGACAUAUUUGGCUUUUUUUCCUACCAAGAGAAUAAUUCAGGCUAAGUGUUUCACCUUUUUAGGUGAUCAUCUCUUUGUAUGGUCACUAGCACAUGGGUAGACCAGCUGACUUAAACUAGGAGAGUGGUCCUUUUCAGUGAAAUUGUUUUUGCAUUCUCCCCAGUUAUAGGCGAUAGACUGCCCUUAUUUGCUUUUUAUAUCACUUUUUGUGGAAUAGUACUCAUGCUCACCAUUCAUAUUCCUUUGGUCUCUGUUUCUAACCUAGCUUUCACAGGCCCCCUUAUGGGUGUAUCUUGAAUAGGUUUAAGCGACUCAUUUGCCAAAACAAGGCCCAAAUUUCUCCAAAAUGUUAUCUUUUGUUUGCUAUCAUUUUCAGCUCAUCAGCAUUAUUGAUUUUAGAUCCACCAAGAAGAGAACACUAUGGGAUUGACACUAGAGCAAUGAUUCUCUCUGAACUUAGAGACUAGCACAAACUAGGAAAAAUGGAACCUGCAGAAAGGUUUGGCUCUCCCAGCUCAGCGGGUGUGAGUCAUCUUUAACUUCGUAGGGAGGCCUCUGCUACUGCAUCACCCCGACAUGAGCUGCCCUCUCGCACAUUCCUGCUCUUGCUUCUGCUCCAUCGUCCAUCUUCCAAAGUUUGUUGGGUACAGAUCUGGGAACCAGGUGAGCCAGCUCUUACCUCUGCCUUCACUGGCUUAUGCCAGUCCUCUCCUCUGUGUCCUGGUAUUUUCUUUCUAGGAGCUCCCAGACAAUAACCAUUCUCUUACAAAGUUUAUAGUAUAGCCCUCUGCUUGAAAAGUAGGCACACAGUUUGAGUUUUUUCAUUGCGGAAGCUAAUUACCACAUUAAUACUUGAUGUAGAUAUCUCUUGACCUACCCAGAGUUCUCACCCUGAAGACACUCAGUAAAUAACAUAGGAAGGGCUCUAGAAACCUGGGAGAGGCGAUAUUCCUUGAGAGCAUCCAGCUUAAGCUACAUAUGGCAAGUCUGUUGCCAACCCUCUUUCUAUCUCUGAGAAAUUCCUUCAGCAGGAGUGAGACCCCUUUGGAGUUCACUAAAACACAAUUUAGAUGCAGCAGAAGUAGCAACAACAAAGGUAUACAGAAGAAGGAAAAUAAGUUGUUAAGAACAGUGAGUAAUAAUAGCAUUUUCUAAAAAAUCAAUAUCCACAUAUUUCUAUGCGUGAGGUGCAUUCAUCAGUGCGAGUGGGUGACAUUUGUCCCAGCCUGGCUGAGUGAGCCAGGGCUGCGUGACUCACCUGCUGUGCCAUCAGCAAACCACCAAGCCUCCUGCCUGGGAAUUAACAAACUCACUAAAGGAAAUCUGUCACUAACUGAAUCUUUAAAUGUAAUCCAAUUGCCAGUCAAUUUACAAACUUUCUGCAUAUUCUUCAGGUCAUUUCUAACCUCCCUCCUUUGCAGCCUGGCUGGAUUGUAUCGGGUUUAUCUUAGUUUGCUCUGAGGGGGGAAUUGAAAUGCCUCCUUUUCUAAGAAUAUCAUUGUGUAUCUCUCUCACCACAGGUUGGGUAGAACAGAGAGGUGAUCUCAUAGGGUUUUUCCACCCAAUGAUUCUGAUUUUUUAAAACACAAAUAUGUGAAAGCCCCAAUCAUUGCCUCUUAAAAUCCCCUUUGUGCUCAAAGAGGAAGCUUGGUGAAUAGUUUGAGCGAAGUAUCAGGAAUAUCAGAUAGCACUGAUUCACUGAGUUCUGGAAACAAACCUCAGUUUCUUCAAUCAUUGGUUCAAGAUGAGAAAACUUCCCUUUGUCACAUACUAAUAUGACAACAAACGAGAGAUCAGCCUGUCCUCUGACAAACAUGACACAUGAAUUUGACAAGUGCUCCAUCUUUUUCCACCCCGGCUCGUGCUGUGCUCUUCUGGCUACAUUGCUUCCUUGGGUUCUCUGUUCAAGUCUUAAACCACCUGUGGAGGUCCCACUCUCUCCCAGUAACCUUCCCCAACUUGCUGGCUUAGAGGCAGCUUUUCCUCCCCUGAACUCCUCUGGCACAUAAGUCAGAAUCUUUAGUCGAUUUUCAGGGUAGAGACUAUGCUGAAUUCUUAUUCGCACAUCUAUAGGAUGGUGGUACUUAGCCUAUGCCGCUGGUGUGCAAUGUUGACUGGGCAUCGGAAUCACCUGUGCAACUUUUGAAAACUACAGAUGUCCAGAUCUCACAACGGACCUUCUAAAUAAAGUAGACUCACUAUUUAGGUGAUUCUGAUUUACCCCUGGGAUGAGAACUACCACUUUGCCAUCAUUGUGAGGAUUGCAUGGACUACUAUGUAGACAGGCACUUUUUAAAAACUAUAGACUUUCAUUAUAAAUUCUAAUUAUGACUUAGAGUGAAUGCUAUGGCUGCUCCCUAGCCCCACGUUUAGCCCUUAGCUCCUACUCCCUAAUAGUACCUCUGUAUGUUCAAAGGGCCACCCUUCCUCAACACAGUCCCCUUGCUUCAGAGGAAGCCCACCCCACCUUCAGUGUGAGGUGAGGGGCUGAAUGGUCUGAGACUAAAUGCAUGAUUCAGGAAUGGGGUUUGUGACCUAAUUCUGGCCACUGAGAAGCAAGAAGAAUGCUAAAGACUUCUGGGAAGGGUCUUCCUCUUCUAGGAAGCGUCACCCUUUCUUUUGCUAUUACCCUAGUUGUUACUGGCAGCCACUGUGUGGUCUUUCUCUCUCCCUCCUCCUCCCCCCUUUCCAGAGGGGGAGAAGAAGUUUUAGGAUGAAGCUGUGAAAGUCCUGGAUCCUUGAUGGUGGGUCAAGCAAAACUGAGUUAUGUAAAUUUGGACUUCCACUUACGUGCACCAAUAAAUGCAUGAUUGUUUAAAACAGUUCUGUUACUUGUGGCUGAAAUAUCCUCCCAGAUACACUUGUUUUUAUUCCUCAGUCCCAAGUAUCAGCUGGCACAAUGCCCCCUUUAGCAAAUGCGCAAUAAGCAUUUGUUGACUGAAUGAAGGAGUUUAUGCGAGUGCCUAUAUAUGCCAAGUACAGGAGGUGCAGUAACUAAACAAAGUUUCUGUCAUCAUGGAUGUUAUAUUCUGGCGGGAAUAAAACUGCAUUUGUGGGUCAGGUUGGCAACUUCUCUGGAGAAAUAAGCUUAAUGUUUCUACUUGUGCAGGUAGAUGGGUUCAACCAUCUGAGAACAGGAACACUUGCGCCCAAGGGCCACUGCUCAGGAAUUCACCUGACCACUAGAGUGACCUUCUGAAGUUAAAGAAAAGGGAAAUGACAAAUGGGAUCACGAAGAGUACUUUGUUCCCAAGUUUAUGACUCAGACAAAAAAACAUACUGCUCUUAUUACCAUAUCUCAGACUCAGCACUUAAGACAGGUGAUUGCAGAGGACCAAGUGGGGAGUAACAAUCUGAAAAGGUUAGGAAAGCUUGAUUUUAGUAAGUGAGUGGAAUUUGAAGAAGGGAAAACCCAUGACCUACUGAGUGUCCAUCUAUGAGUGUGUGAAAGGUAAUCACCAGUGGU